rnacentral:lncRNA from 1 species
CAUUGUAAUCUUUUACUUCAUUCCAUAUUUCACUUCAUUCAUUCGCCUAAUAUUCGGUUCAGCUUCGGUCAUUUUGUGUUUGACUUUCGUCGUCGCAACUGUUCAACAAUGGCAGACGGUGCUUCAACCAUUGCUGUUUUUGCGGUGGUUAUGGUUCGUCUGGGGGCGAUACAGGCCAUGGUGCCUCAACGUGGCCGUGGACGCGGUCAUGAACGAGGUCGUGGUCGCGGGAAGGCAGAUCAGAAAGAUUGUGAUCUAGAUAUCUGACAAAACCGCCCGGCUCUAAAAGUCAAAAACGAUAAACUCGAGAGCAUUAACUUGUUUUCUCUGCCCGUCAAAGAGUUUGAAUGACGAGGUUUUGAAGUUCGGGCCUGUACAGAAAUAGACGCCUUUGUAGCUAUUGGUGACAACAAUGGUCACAUUGGAUUCAGUUACAGUGCAGAAAAUAAGUUUUUUCUAUCCGUGGAGCUAUUAUUCCGGCGGCUAAACCGUCCGUAUUGCGUAUGCGCAGAUGCUACCAAGUAACAAGAUUGGCAAGCCCCAUACAGUACCUGCAAGGUUACUGGCAAGUGCGGUUCUGUCACCGUGAUGCUUAAUCAUGCACGAGUCCGUAUUGCGUAUGCGCAGAUGCUACCAAGUAACAAGAUUGGCAAGCCCCAUACAGUACCUGCAAGGUUACUGGCAAGUGCGGUUCUGUCACCGUGAUGCUUAAUCAUGCACGAGUCCGUAUUGCGUAUGCGCAGAUGCUACCAAGUAACAAGAUUGGCAAGCCCCAUACAGUACCUGCAAGGUUACUGGCAAGUGCGGUUCUGUCACCGUGAUGCUUAAUCAGGCACGAGUCCGUAUUGCGUAUGCGCAGAUGCUACCAAGUAACAAGAUUGGCAAGCCCCAUACAGUACCUGCAAGGUUACUGGCAAGUGCGGUUCUGUCACCGUGAUGCUUAAUCAGGCACGAGUCCGUAUUGCGUAUGCGCAGAUGCUACCAAGUAACAAGAUUGGCAAGCCCCAUACAGUACCUGCAAGGUUACUGGCAAGUGCGGUUCUGUCACCGUGAUGCUUAAUCAGGCACGAGUCCGUAUUGCGUAUGCGCAGAUGCUACCAAGUAACAAGAUUGGCAAGCCCCAUACAGUACCUGCAAGGUUACUGGCAAGUGCGGUUCUGUCACCGUGAUGCUUAAUCAGGCACGAGUCCGUAUUGCGUAUGCGCAGAUGCUACCAAGUAACAAGAUUGGCAAGCCCCAUACAGUACCUGCAAGGUUACUGGCAAGUGCGGUUCUGUCACCGUGAUGCUUAAUCAGGCACGAGUCCGUAUUGCGUAUGCGCAGAUGCUACCAAGUAACAAGAUUGGCAAGCCCCAUACAGUACCUGCAAGGUUACUGCAAGUGCGGUUCUGUCACCGUGAUGCUUAAUCAUGCAUGAUUCUACAUGAUUAGCAGCAUUAGCUAGCAGAUAGCUAGUGUCCAGAAUUGCUACACAUCUACCCGUGGUUCCACUGGCAUGCUCGGCAACUCCGCCAAUGCUAUUGCCAAGAUGUGCCUGCCUAACUGCGGACCUGUGGCUUGAUAUCCCUUUGACAUAGAGUAGGGGGACUUACUCUGAGUUCAAGGUUUAAGUCUUUCUGAAUAACUGA